CCAGGGGCACCGCUGGGUAGCUAUGUGCGGAAGGGAUAAGCGCUGAAAGCAUCUAAGCGUGAAGCCCCCCUCAAGAUGAGAUUUCCCAUCGCGUUAAGCGAGUAAGAUCCCUCGAAGAUGACGAGGUCGAUAGGUCCGAGGUGGAAGCGUGGCGACACGUGGAGCUGACGGAUACUAAUCGAUCGAGGGCUUAACCUAG
rnacentral:rRNA from 1 species